GACGUAGGUGGCAAGCGUUGUCCGGAGUUACUGGGCGUAAAGCGCACGCAGGCGGUUCGCCAAGUUUGGCGUGACAGUUGUCGGCUCAACCGACAAAGGACUUCAAAAACUGGUGAACUUGAGGACGAGAGAGGAACAUGGAACUCCAGGUGUAGUAGUGAAAUGCGUAGAUAUCUGGAAGAACACCAAUGGCGAAGGCAAUGUUCUGGCUCGUUUCUGACGCUCAGGUGCGAAAGCCAGGGGAGCGAACGGG
rnacentral:rRNA from 1 species